CAGACCCACAGAGUCUGGCGGGGAGCCGAGGAGGAGGAGAGGCAGCAGCGGCAGCGGCAGCGGCGGUGGAGGAGAUGGACUCACACCUCUGAAUCACAACUCAGCCUCCAGUCACGGGGACUUGGGACGACUAAGUGUUCUGGAGCGGGAUUUUUGCUCGUGUUGCUCACUGAGACUGAAAAAAAUAGUAAUAAUAAGCAGCACAGGAGCGGGGGAGGUUUGUUUUCUACAUAGUUGCAUCCUGACGCUCAGCACUCCUGUCGUCUCACCUGCACUGCAAGUCCGCUGUGGUAAUAAUGCAUCCAGAUAAGUACUUACCUGAACUGGUGGCUGAGAAAAACACCCUGGAUCCCUGCUUUGUGCAUGCGGUGCGCCUGCUUGCAGAAGAGAUUGAAAAGUAUGACGGUGAUGAAUUGAGAAAAGAUGGCGACACAAAGAAAUACCUAGAUAUAAUCAGCAAUAAAAAUAUCAAGCUCUCCGAAAGAGUUCUCAUUCCCAUCCAACAGUAUCCAAAGUUUAAUUUUGUAGGGAAGCUGCUGGGACCGCGGGGAAAUUCUAUGAAACGAUUACAAGAGGAGACGGGAGUGAAGAUGUCCAUUCUCGGCAAAGGGUCCAUGAGGGAUAAAGGCAAAGAAGAGGAAUUACGGAAAAGCGGUGAAGCCAAAUACGCCCACUUGAGUAAUGAUCUCCACGUUUUAAUUGAAGUCUUCGCUCCACCUGGAGAGGCCUACUCUCGCAUGAGCCAUGCCUUGGAGGAGAUUAAAAAAUUUCUGGUCCCAGACUACAAUGACGAGAUCAGGCAGGAGCAACUGAGAGAGUUAUCCCUGUUGAACGGAUCCGACGAGUCGAGCAGAGGGAGGAGUGUACAGGCAAGAAGUGUGCGAACAACAACAACAAUAUCCACAAGGGGCCACAGAGGUGCAGGGAGGAGUGCAGCAGCGCCUCGGGGGACGGCGACGGCGGCACACAGCAAACUUCCUACGACGGUGGUGACGAGGGAGGUACAAGCUCCCAGAGCCAGGGGGGCAGCAGCGAGCGCCGGAUACAGACCCCCGCUGUUGGCGGUCACACACGAAUCGUACGACGACUAUGGCUACGAUGAUGGCUACGAUGGAGAAUACGACGACGAGAGUUACGAAACCUAUGAGGAUAACUACAACAAUCAGUCAAAGAGCAUUUCAGGAUAUUAUGAAUAUGGACACGGAACCAGUGAUGAAUCCUACAACAAUUAUGAGGAGGAGUGGGCGACCACCCGACCCAGUCUCAAAGCCCCCGUUCUACGGCUGACAAGAGGGGGCUACAGGAAACAUCCGUACGGCAGAUACUGAAGAUAAAGGAACACAGUGCAGUGUGUUUUGGUCAAAGCAGAGAGAACUCUACCAGAGCAGAAGGCACAGAAAUCGGCUCCCACAGGACUGAAGAUCGUACUCAGCCAUCAGACAUGCUCGGGUGCCUCAUCGGUCAGACAAGAAACCUGGUACGUAUUCAACUUUGUUCUCAACGAAACACCUAACAAAAGAGUUAUAGACAGUUUUCCUGGGUACGAGCUUGGAAAAGAUUAGUUGUGGAGCUUCUAUGAAGAAUUAUUGUGUCAGCCUAAUGCAAAAUUAACAAGACGUCUUCGGUUUGCACCUUGUGAAUCGAUCAUGUUGUCACACGGGAUGUUUUUCAAGGUUGUUUUCCUAGAAUAACAUCAUUGUAAAUCAUCAGUGAGCAACGAAAAUGUGUUCUUUAUUCGGCAAAUCUGUAAGAGACAGCAUUUUCAGGGAACAUGGCAAUAAAGCAGUUUAGACGAGACAAGUUGGAGCGAUUUCCUUCAUUCAUGGACGACUGUUCAUCAAAUCCAACUUCAGUUUUGCUGUAACUGCACAGAUCACCAAACUGCCAAGAAUAAGAUGAUUAUUAAGUAGCUGUAAGUGAAUAUUAAAACCGUCGCAAAAAUUGCUUCUUAUUUCCAACUCCUUUCUGUUCAGAGUGGCUUGUUUUUUCAGACUAACUCUCAUGUUUAUUUGCACCUAUGAGUUGGAAGUGAUCAGUGUUGCUGGAAGCUCCGUGUCUGCCAGUGAUGGUCCUGCAGACUUUGCCAGAAGCUCUCUCGGAUCCAUUUUCAUAACAAGCAUGCCGCCAGCUAGAAACCAGCCAAGAGCCGAAAUCCCACAGCCUGCUAUGGAUGUGGAUUCGUUUCUUAAAGAGAAUGCCGCUCAUGAAACUGCUCUCACACAGAUUACAAAAGAGAUUAAAAAUAAAUAAAGGCUCAUUACUCAUUGUACAUGUUUUCAUUGUGCACAAGUCUAAAGCGCUGAAAGACUUUGCAGCUGUCUUUGCAUCUCUUUUCACACACACUUGGAUCUAUAGUGAUACUUGUCCAUUAUGCCGGACUGUAUCCUCGGGCACAGUAAAAACUGGCAGCUGUUCACUUUGUUGGUUUGCAAAGUUUAUCACCUUUGGCAACUUUGUUUAUGCAGCCACAACACUCUUAAUAGAAUCCACAUCAGUCUAUUUAGACACUCCCUGUGCAUCUGUUCCUGUAAAAAAAGAAGAAAAAAGAUAAAGUCUACUUGUGCUAACUUGUGUUUAUUGUGCACAGAGAUGAAAUUGGACUUGGAGAGAAAAGAUAAGGAAAAAUGAAACAUGAUGGGAAAAACCCACAGGUUGCCAUGAAGCCAAGAAGUUCCCUCCCUGGUACAUAAUAAAACCUUUAACGUGUGCUAAAGCAUCUGAGUGUUAUGUUUUUUCAAGCUGUUAAAAUGUCCUCAGGUUAGAAAGUUUUCAUGUCAACCAAAAUCUGCACAAGAGGAGAGUUUUUGCAGUUAAAAAUGCACUGAAUUCACUUGUUAUAUUAUGUAUGUUAUCAGCAUAAUUUCUCCUCUGUUCAGUUUUAUUAAAGUGGUAUUUUGUAUUGUGGUCGGUCUUAUGGCCUCAAGUAAAGAAAAGUGAUUUUUUUUCUUCUUUUUUUUAAAAUCUCAACACGACUGCACCUUAUUUUAGCCGUGUUUAGAGGUGUUGUCAUCUGGCGGCUGCUGUCAUUACCAACCCGAGUGCACCCUGUGUCUGUUCCCAGCUCACUAAUAAAUGGUUCACUUAGUGCUGCCAACAUGAACAUGUUAGUUCAUUAAGCAAGUCGAGCCCACUGCUGGUGUUCUGGCCAAAUGUCACAGCUACUUUACAAGCCCAACCCGUCACUGCUGCUGGAAUAUAUACUUCAGCAGCCAGUCACAGCUCACCUCUUUGUCAUUUUCUGAGUGGUAGUCAUAAUGAAUGGCGCCGUCUGCGGCUCUACAUAUGGUGCUCUGUGAUUAACACUCGAGAUUGAUGGGAGCAAUACAGGCUUCUGUUCAAAUAAACGUUCAUGACUGUCCUCUUUCUGAAUUUGUGUGCUUGUAUUUGAUUUACUAAACAAUAAAUCGAUAGCCUCGUAAUGCAGGCAGCACGUCGCCGCUCCUCACAGCGUGCUCGACUUGAACAGCUUGCAGGGCUAACGAGUCAGAUUUCAUGCAGAAGAUCAUCCAUUUCUUAUCUCUUUCGGUGGAUGGGGAUUUUCAUGAAUCCAGCUCUAUUGUACGGCAGACUCAUUUCAUAAAAAAACACCCAUCCCUGAUUCUGGCAUUUGUUUAAUUCACUUGCUCCAUGCCAUAGCAUCCACACAGCCUGUCAGACAGUGUGGCAUUUAUCUUCCUCGAUGUCACUUGAUCUAAAUAUUGGAAACACAGAAGCACCGAAGUGGGUCAGGAUCUACACGAACACCCAGAAAUGUUCAAUGAUGCAAAACAGUGUAUGGUAAUAACUAACACGCAGCAUUUCCCCCAGCCAAGGACGGGUACCUGAGCAAACUCAGCUCUGUUUAGACAGCUGCUUGAUGACCCAGAAUAGGAAAUGAGGGCUUAUAAUCACCAGCGCCUAAAAGGGCCUCUUCACCAGCGUAGCACUUGUGAUGAAAUGCUUUGCAGAGUCAGAGCCCUGGAUGCGUUUUGAUGAUUUUCCACGUUGUUUCCUUGUGACAGGAGGGGAAGACGUGUAGCUUGAGCUGCAGUUUUUAGGAAGUUGCGUGUUUCUGCAGACAGAUAUAUGAUCUUAGCUCCAUUUUUUUUUUUUUGCAGAAAAGCCUUACCCCCAGGCUUAUUACAGCUAUUUUUAGAGAAAUAAUAGGUUUUGACAUGUUGUCUUGCACAGUGCACAUGGAUAAGCUCAGCACGCAAGUGAAUUGUGCUAACUAUGUUUUCUACACACCAAGUCAUUCAAAUAUUUCAAAAAUAAGGCUGUUUGGAUGUACAAAAUGUUUUGCAGGAUGUAGGUUUCCAUUUUUACCAGGAUUAAGUUGCCCAAUUAAAAAAAAAUCCCCCCAUAAAAUACACUGGAAAAACCAACUGCAUCAUUCAUUAUUGUGAUUUUGAACAGUCUGGGCUCACAGUGCAUAUUUGCUGGAGUCACUUUCGAGGAAAACUAAACCAGUCCACCCUGAGUAAUGUCUUCCAACAAACAGUGGAGUCUGAAUCUCUUCCAAAUGAGAGUGUUUUCAUGCAUAAUGCAGGUAUAAGCUGCUAAAGUCAUCUCCAUAUUUAGAUUACUAAUAGCUAUUUAUGAAUAAACAUAUUUCCUUGGCAACUGAGCAACUGCAGACUAGAAAUGCAAAGGCAAAUCAUGCCAGGUCAUCCGUAGCUUAUUAAGCUAUUGCAUCAGAUUUUUACAGAAUCUGAUGGAAAUGUACAUCCAUCCAUUCAUUUCGCUAUAUAUGCUUUAUCCUGUAUCCUGAAUCUGUACAGGAGGCCUUCUUACUGUGAGGCAACACUGCAAACCAGUGUAGAAUAUUUCUUAAUAGCUAAUUCACACAUUGCCGCCUGAAUUUUUAGAACACACCUUUACUUUGUAUUUGUCAAAAUUAUAUUAAGUCAAAUGCAUUCAUAAAACCUUUGCAUCAAUGGACCGGAGUAUGACUCAUCCAGAACACCUGUCUAAUUCAAGUAGUUUAUUUUGGACCAAUAUUAAACCACUUACAGUUUGUGGGGGGAAAAAUACGCUGUAGAUUUGCUUUGAACAUCCAUAGUUUGAAAUGAAGAAGUUUCAUUCAUUUUUAACCUACAUGUGAAAUAACACAUAGGUCUCAUCUGGUGCGAAACCCUGAAGGUACAUAGAAAAAUAUAAUAUUUAUGUUUUCAUUUCAUGUGAAAGUGAGUUUUGGUUUAACCCUCAGCGGUUUGCUUAUUAUAUAGAUCGGCUCACAGCCUGUAUGCGUUUCCAUCUCGUCCUCUGCUGCUUGUUGCAAUCUGAGAGUGCAACAGAUUACAACCUAUAUUCCAGUUAUUAUUUCAGGUGAGGUGCACCACUCCUAGAAACCCACAAAUCCAAUCUUCCCACAAACUACCUCAAAGAUGAAGAUGAAAGCGCUGCAUUCAUCUGGCAUCUGUUUCUCAGCUCUUUUAUGCUAUACAUACCCCCAUGAGUUCAAGUGCAAGAUACCAUGUCGGAUAAAUGCCUCUGACAGGCGAGACUAUGAUGUAGCUGUCAAGAUUCAGAGUCACGGAUGUCCCCGAUGAAGCCUUUUUGUUUUGUCUAGAUUGUAUUUCCUUUCACGGCAUAGGAAAUAGUACACAGUUGUUGAAUUUGAUCUGGAUGACAAAAGUACCUACAGGAGCUAUUGCUCAGAGGGCAAGGUGAUCCAUCCAGCCCACACAAACAGACAGCUAUUGAUUCAGCAGUUGAUUGUCAGUCAAGGUCAUGUUUGAGUCUUUUUGUCCCUGGGUACUUUAAUGAAGAGCGCAUGACAGGACUUUGCACUUUCUUUGCUCUUUACAGCCAAACAAUAGAAAUUAGUUUGGUGCAUUGCAUCUCUGCACAGGACAGUCAGUGGUGCUCACAGUAACUGGCAGUCAAUAACUGGGCUUUCUACACAAACAUAUAUAUGUAUGAGGAAUUAUAUAAGGAAUCACACAACCUGUGACUGUGCUGGAAGCAAGGGAGGAGAGAGACUGCAGGAUAAUUACUGACAGCUUCAGCUAUUGUCAAAAAUUCACGGUUCAACCCUGAACUCAAUAUGUGAGCAAAUGUAAUAGGAAAAUGCCCAUAUUCUCUUUAAAGUGCACGUGUAAGUUGAUGCCUCUAUUCAUUACAUUAGACAUGAACUGCUUUUGUCACCUGGGUUCAGGCAUAUGGGUUCUGUAAAGCAUCUUGAGCCUAUUCAAAUUGUAAUUGGCGUGAUAUAAAUAAAAUUGAAUUGAACUGAAUUGAAUUGAAUUGAGUUGGGGCUGCACUUCGCCUUACAGCAAAAAUAUCCCCGGUUCAAAUCCCGGGGUGGGCCUGGGAUCUUACUGCAUGGAGUUUGCAUGUUCUCCCUGUGCAUGCGUGGGUUUUCUCCGGGUACUCCGGCUUCCUCCCACAGUCCAAAAAUAUGCUGAGGUUAAUUGAUUACUCUAAAUUGCCCGUAGGUGUGAAUGUGAGUGUGUUUGUCUGUAUAUGUAGCCCUGCGACAGACUGGCGACCUGUCCUGGGUGUCCCCUGCCUUCGCCCGAGUCAGCUGAGAUAGGCUCCAGCACCCCUGCGACCCUAGUGAGGAUCAUUUGUUGUGAUGUUGCUGCUGAUUCAUUAAAAUCAGAUGAUUCGUGUUGAAGACAGGUUUAGUUCUAGUAUCAGAAGUGCAAGAAGAAAAAUGGAAGUUUAGUUCUGCUAUGUCAGAGAUUUCAGGAAUAAAAUAACUAAAUGAGUCUUUAUGCCUCCAACUUUAUUUUACAACAUUGAAAUAAUGAAAUAAUCACAGAUAAUAUAAAUAGCAGAGAAAACCUGAGUGUAAUUUCCUGAAAAGUCUAUGAAGGAAAAGCAGCUUUAUCCUGAAAGAUCAGAAUCAGCUCCAACAUCUGCAUCAGACAGCAUCAAGUCAACCAGAAAGAAAAGAAAAAAGAAAAUGACUUCUUUCCGUUCACAUCUGUUCUGCUGCUCACAUUCUUCACCUUUAUAGUCCACUUUGAAAAGUUCAGCAGACAGGUGCUCUGCUUUGGAGUGUGACGAUGUCGUCGGUGAUGUGGAGAGUGAAGCUUCCGUUUCACCCACAGCGUGCUUUAGGACACCCGGGUUGGACUUGAUGUCUGAAAUGCUGACCGACAGCUCAGAUUUAACUGUCUGUAGUUCUGUUUUGAUUGAUGUUAAAUAUUCACUGAAAGCCGCCAGGAGCUGGGUCUUUAAAAUAACCGCCGUCUCAUUACAGAGUGAAAGUAGCAGUUCCUCCUUAAGGUCAGAGAUUGCAGCAUCUGAGGACCUCUUCAAAAGAAGACGUAGUUGAUGAAAAUAUACUGGAGCAGGACCAGAAAGACCAUGACCAGCAAUCCUGGAGAUCUUAGGCAGUGUCUCCCUCAGGUGGGUGUCAACGGUGUUCACAGUCAGGUCUGUGGUAAUCCUGUCAAAAAACAAAACAGAAAAAAAUCUAGAUUAUAAAUCAACAUGUAACCAAAGCACUGUGUGUAUAACGCCAUAGUAUAGGAUGUCAGAAAAUGUCAAAGUAUAGUAUACUUUUCAAGAAUAACAUAGCAUGGCCUGUAGUUCAUAGUAUAGCAUGUUGGCAAAAAAACCCAUAGAUUAUUAUGUGGUUGAAAAAGUGCAAAAUGAUAGGAUGUUGCUUAAAAUUGUCAUGUGUGGUAUGUGGUUCAAAAAAUGUCAUAGUGCAGUAUAUUGUCAAAAUAGUAUGUUAUUCAAGAAAACAGAGUAUAACUCUGCCUUGGCUCUACCCAUGUAGUCACUUGGAAACUAUGAUGUCAAAGGGACGACGGAAUCAUGUUUAUUUUGUCUGAUCUGUAGCUUAGUAAGUUAAAGAUAUGCUUUUGGAGCUGCAGGUUGCUGGUUCAAGACCAGACCCUUUUUAAAAAUUUUUGAAAAACUUAGACAAAGGAACAAAGUAAAAUGCCUGCACUGAGACUUGAUCCUGCUACCUUCCACUUGGUAGUCUCUCUUCUUAUCCACCUGAGCUACUCACACAGAUGCUGAUUUUUCUUAUUUUUUGUGUAUUUAUCAUCGAUUUUUUUGUCGUUUUUGAGGUUUUUUUUAACUCAAGUUUCAUCUUGACCAUUUUUCUCAGGAGGUUGGACUUCAGCCUUUGUGCUGGAGGGUUGAACCCUCAGUUCCAAAACUUUCCAAAGUCUCCAGACCUCCCAAGUCCUCAGGACCUGAGCUUUCACAUAGUCUGAGGGCUGAAAUUUUCUAAGUCCCACAGUGGAUCUCUGUUAGAUUUAACUUUCAGACAGUCCAAGGACUGAUAUCUUCUAAGUUCCUGAGUAGUUCUGUGUUAGUUUGAACCUUUUGACACUGAGGACUGAAAACCUAAAAGUUCUUGAGCAGUUCUCUGUUAGUUUGAAAUUUCUGGUUCACAGAAGCCUUAAAACUUGUGACCAUGAGUCUUGAUUUCACAUUUAGACCAUAGAUCCGAGUUCUUCUCAGACCUUCACCUGUGGGUUCUUUAGAAAUCCUGAACAAACUUUGAUUCUCUUCACUGAACAGUAACGUUUGUGGAGAUCAAAAGGUAACAUUAGUUCGAUCGAUGCCUUCAACUACUAGUAGACUUUAUCUGGAAAGCAGUUUUCUGAAAUGAGUUCUUAGUAAAUCUGUCCACAGUCAAACUAAGAUCAUAGAAAGAGGAAAUGAAGAGGAAUUAAAUCUUUGAAUGUUGACCUAAAAGGUUGGUUUCAGGAAUUAUUCCACCUACAAGGUCCUCACACAUCCACCGUAAAGGAACAUUCCACCAAAAAUCCGUGGACAUGCACCUAAAAUCUUGGUUUAGCCAAGUAUUCCAUCCAAAAUCCUCAAAGAGACCUGAGGGGCUGGUUAAAAGGAAUAUUCCACCUAAAACCUCAACUUGGGCAGUAUGUGUAGCAGCGACAGUCGAAAGAGGCCCUCUCUGGGUGGAAGAACCUCGUCUGACUGGCAGCUCCCUUUCUGCUCUUACCUUACUCACUAAACUCAAGUACCAUGUGGGGAGGCAUGGCUCAGUGGGUAGAGUGGCCGUCUUGUAACUGGAAGGUUGCCAGUUUGAUCCUCGGCCCGUUGAGCUCAUGUUGAGGUGUCCCUGAGCAAGACACUGAACCCCUAAUUGCUCCUGGUGGGUUGUGGUUAGCGCCUUGCAUGACAGCUUCCGCCAUCAGUGUGUGAAUGGGUGAAUGUGGUGUAUCAUGUAAAGCGCUUUGGAUAAAAGCACUAUAUAAAUACAACCAUUUACCAUGGAGGACUACAGUAGUCUAUGUUGACAAAUGCAAAAAGAGGAGGUGCUCUCGGAAGUCCACAGUGCCAGACCACCCCCCCGGCCUGUUCGAUGGCUGCGUCUGGACCAUGGACCUGCAACACAAGAACACCUGCUCGCUGUGAAAGAUUAUUGAGAGCAGUGUUUGUGAUUUCUAUGUAGAACACUAUGAUGUUUGCUGAGCUGUGCUCUAUUAAAUGAUUUAAGAAUA